rnacentral:misc_RNA from 1 species
GAUGAAGAACGCAGCGAAAUGCGAUAAGUAAUGUGAAUUGCAGAAUUUAGUGAAUCAUCGAAUGUUUGAACGCACAUUGCGCCCCCUGGUAUUCCGGGGGGCAUGCCUGUCCGAGCGUCAUUUCUGCCCUCCAGCCCGGCUGGGUGUUGGGCGCUGUCCCCCCGGGGACACGCCCCAAAGGCAGUGGCGGCGCCGCGUCGGGUCCUCGAGCGUAUGGGGCUUUGUCACCCGCUCGGGACGGACUCGUCGGCGCUGGUCUUCCUCCAGGCGACCCUUCGGGGCUCGUCUUCCUUCGAUUGACCUCGGAUCAGGUAGGGUUACCCGCUGAACUUAAGCAUAUCAAUAAGCGGAGGA